ensembl:lncRNA
GGAAUGGCAGACAUGUGCAUCUUCUGAUUGUAAUCCGCUAGCAUCCACAUGGAAGCAUCUAAGAGGCAAUGCCUUUUCACCGUCUGUUAAUGAGGAAUUGUGACAGUAAAUGGUCAACCCUACUACGACUCUGUCUUCAUUGGCUACGGUUUAACUCGGUGUUAAGUCAGAGUUACAACACACUGCACGAGAACACUACAGUGAAAAGGCAGCAUUGGAUGUUUUGAAGUGGUCGCCAUGGCAAGCAACAGAUCGUCUGUCGGCAGUGCUAAGAGCAUCAAAACAUCAGCAUCAUCAGUAAGCGCAGCCCGCGUCCGGGCCGAAGCAGAAGCUGCAAAGGUGAGAGCUUCAUAUGCUAGCCAGGAGGCUAAGCUAAAAAUGGAAAAAGCUGCUAGAGAGGCAGAAAGGGCAACUAGAGAUGCUCAAAAUAAAAUGGAAACUACAAGAAUAGACACAGAGUAUAAAUUGGAAACUACAAGAGUAGACAGAGUUGGAAGUGUUAACCCUUCAUAGAGAAGCUGACGCAGCCAUGGUGACAGCUCAAGUGUUGGAAGACGCAGAGGCGAUGCAGUCUGUUGUCGAAGACGGGAAAUCUGAAUCUGAAAAGAUGAAAAUUAAACGCACCAGUGAAUACGUUCAAUCCCAGAUCGACCUUAAGAUAAUCCCAGCUCCCUCAAUUAAGGCAAAGUCACAUGACACUUUCAUGACAUGGCAUCCAGCGGAGGAAGACGACUAUCAACCACAACCUGUCAGCAAGGAAAAUGCUGACAGUAAACAACCAUCGCCACCACAUUUACAUGACCCAACUAAAGCUGAGACAAAGGCUAAGAUCCCAGUCCAUCAUGCUCCCCUUGCCUGCCGUGCCACCAUCAUGCCUCAUGCAUCACUUCUCAGCACCCUGCCCAGCUGCAUCUUAUUCCCUUACUCCAGCUCUUUCCCAUAAGUGACAAACACGCCUCACCCAAGUGUUUUUAAUAAUUUAUUAAUUAUGCAUGUAAGGUGUGCUUAAGUGGCCUGAAAGGUGCCCAUCAAUAAAAUGCUUAUUAAUAUAACAUUAUGGCUCCAUCAAAAGCAAAGUACACCUGCCAUUUACAGUUAUCAUUUAUACUAUCCAAGACAUCUUUAAACUUAUUUACAUAGGCCUACAGUAGGCCUGAUUUCCUCUGAAUGUUUAAAUAAAAAAAUUCCCUGUCCAUGUCAGAUCCCUGUCCAUCAUACUCCUGUUGUUGUCUUCCUGCACACCUGACUGCCUCCUCCAUUGAUUGCGGCCACAGCCCUCUCCCUG